GAUGAACGCUGGCGGCGUGCCUAAUACAUGCAAGUCGAGCGAACAGACGAGGAGCUUGCUCCUCUGACGUUAGCGGCGGACGGGUGAGUAACACGUGGAUAACCUACCUAUAAGACUGGGAUAACUUCGGGAAACCGGAGCUAAUACCGGAUAAUAUAUUGCACCGCAUGGUUCAAUAGUGAAAGACGGUUUUGCUGUCACUUAUAGAUGGAUCCGCGCCGCAUUAGCUAGUUGGUAAGGUAACGGCUUACCAAGGCAACGAUGCGUAGCCGACCUGAGAGGGUGAUCGGCCACACUGGAACGGAGACACGGUCCAGACUCCUACGGGAGGCAGCAGUAGGGAAUCUUCCGCAAUGGGCGAAAGCCUGACGGAGCAACGCCGCGUGAGUGAUGAAGGUCUUCGGAUCGUAAAACUCUGUUAUUAGGGAAGAACAAAUGUGUAAGUAACUAUGCACGUCUUGACGGUACCUAAUCAGAAAGCCACGGCUAACUACGUG
rnacentral:rRNA from 1 species